GUUGAACGCUGGCGGCGUGCCUAAUACAUGCAAGUCGAGCGAACAGAUAAGGAGCUUGCUCCUUUGACGUUAGCGGCGGACGGGUGAGUAACACGUGGGUAACCUACCUAUAAGACUGGGAUAACUUCGGGAAACCGGAGCUAAUACCGGAUAACAUUUGGAACCGCAUGGUUCUAAAGUGAAAGAUGGUUUUGCUAUCACUUAUAGAUGGACCCGCGCCGUAUUAGCUAGUUGGUAAGGUAACGGCUUACCAAGGCAACGAUACGUAGCCGACCUGAGAGGGUGAUCGGCCACACUGGAACUGAGACACGGCCCAGACUCCUACGGGAGGCAGCAGUAGGGAAUCUUCCGCAAAGGGCGAAAGCCUGACGGAGCAACGCCGCGUGAGUGAUGAAGGGUUUCGGCUCGUAAAACUCUGUUAUUAGGGAAGAACAAACGUGUAAGUAACUGUGCACGUCUUGACGGUACCUAAUCAGAAAGCCACGGCUAACUACGUG
rnacentral:rRNA from 1 species